GGGCACGGCCGGCAGGGGCGCUGCUGGCUCCCGGCGGGCAGGCUGCCAUGGCUCCCCGCGCCGCCAGGGGGCGCUGUGGCGCGGCCCGCGCCCCACACGGGCAUGGCGGGAAGGGAUGGAGGGGAAGGGAUGGGCGAGAGGCUUCGCUCCACAAACCCCCCGGGGCAGCCGAGCCCGGGGCCACAGCAGGAGCCUCGGGAGCAGCAGCAGGGACGGCAGGAACGAGCUCACCCUGGGUAGCAAGAGGCAGCUGACGCUCGGCAGCUGGAGCUGGAGCUGCGCGCUGUCCCGGCAGGCAGGGAGUGUGGGCUGCGCUGCAGCAAAAACCCGCAGCAGCGGCAGAGGCACGGCGGGGGCUGAGCAGCAGCAGCCCGGCUCGGAACAGGCCCGGGAGAGGCUCCCUGGGAGGGGAAAGGAGCUCUGGGAUCCCGGGGUUUCCCCUGAGGCACCCCAGCAGAUGGGGAAAUCCCUUUUUUUGCGAGGCAGGGUGUUAAUAAGGCCCAGUGCAGUGGCUGCUCUCACAAGCAGCAGCUCUGGGCUGGGCUCCGGCGUUUCCAGUCAAUUCCCUCACCCAAGCAGCUGCUCCACCUGCUUCCUCCAAAGCCGAGAAAAACAGAGCCAGCCGCUGCCCCAGCCCCUCUUAUUUUCCCCCAGCCCAAUUCGCACGGUAUCUCUGCCCUUCCCAGAGAAUCUCCCAGGGUGAAUCAGCUUGUGAUGCCACCAGCCUCUGUGAAGGUCUGAGACGCUGCCAGUGAAGGCAAUGACAGUGGACUCCUGCUCCCACCAUGCCAGUGUCUGUCUCGAAGCCCUUCUGUUCUGGAUAGCAGUGGAUCCUUCGGCUCCACGUCCCAGAGGGGUUCUCUGGCACCAAAUCCAUGGCUCCAGCCUGCAGGGUCAGGCACCAGGAGAUGAGCAGGGAAUGUGGCAACUUCUGGAACACAAGGACAUUCACAGGGUCCCCAAGCAUGGAAACCAGCUGUCCACUGGACCCAGAAAAAGCUGCCCAAGUGAGCAACUGUAGAUUGUGUAAAUGGUUUUAGAUGUAGCCAAUGAAGUCCACACUGUUUGUAGGGCAGCUGGUGUCCUAUGGAAUGCUGCUGCUCUGCCAGCACUCCCACUCCCACAGACUGCACUAGUUGAGGACCUGUUCUGUACAUCACCUUUUUUUUUGACAUUGAAGGUUUGAUUCAGAUUAUUAUUUUUUAUUUAAAUAUGUUAUAAGAUGCUUUAUCUCUGCUGAAGACAUUAGAUUAUAUAUAUAUAUAUAUAUAUACUUAGAUAAACAGUUUUUAUUUAAACAUUUGAAAUCUGGAGCUGCCUGUGCAACCAUAGCAGACAUGAAUAACGUCCACAGCUCUCCUCCUCUCAGUGCCCUGGUGCCAGGGCCUGCAAGGGCACCACAGGAAAACUUCCAGUGGGUGACCUAUCUGUCACUGGACUGAGCAGUGGGACAGAGGAGAGAGUUUCACUGCACUGGGUAUGCUGGUGGUUGUCACAGAAAAGCCCAGAAGAACGUUGGACAGAAAUCCCUACAGGCUCUAGAGUUUUCCAUAUGCUCCAUUCAGCCUUCCUAGGAGGUUCAUAGGCUUUUAAACUACCAAAAUCCACCUGGCUGAAUGGCUGUCCCUUGGGCCUGGAGUGCAAUAUUGCUGUGCAGUGACCUUGUGCUUUGUUUACAUGAUUCCAUAUCACUCAGACUCAAUGCUAAUUCUCCUGUCAAUAUUCCAAAGCAGCUGGACACUCUGCCUUCAGAGUGCUUGGGUUCCUGCACAUCCCACCCUGCCUGUCCCAGAGCACUGUCACUGGGGUAUCGCUUGUACCCAUACAAAGGUGUAUUUGAGAGCUUUCAGACAAGGCCAGUGCCUGAGCUGGGUUAGACUCCAGUGCAGAAGCAUGUCAUGGUGCCAUUCCACUGAGUCUUGUUUCCUGUACUUGGCCUCCACAAGCCAAAUGUAUGCUGUGUCAGCUGGAUGGGGGAGGAAGGGGAGCCCAGGUCCUGAAGAGGGCCAGGCUGCCACAGGGAGGGCACUGCCACAGAGAGGGCACUGGCUCAGCAGGGUCCAUUCCCUCUGUUCUGAGCCCUCUCUCACAGUUCUUGUGCUCACAGCUCACAAGUGACUGCAGUUGGGGUCCAAGGAGGACUAAAUCAGCUCAGGAAAUGUAAAGCCAGGGCUAGGUGUCAGUUCAGGCUGGGAGCUGCUGUCCUGGUUGUGCCAGGAUUGCUCAGCACAGGAAGGUAGUGUCAGUAAAGCUGGGUUUGUCUCCCAUUCCUUGCCAGGAUGUGCUGGGACCUGGAGCACAGCACUGCAGCAGAGAUGGUUCCAGUUCCAGAUGCUCACCCCACAGCAGGUCCCUGCCCAGGCUGGGAUUCCUGUAAUCCCCUGAGCCUUCCCUCCUCCCCAGACCUCACAGGACUCCUCUGCAGGGGUUCUGUCACCUGAAAUCCCUUAACAGUAGCUCUAAGACUUGGCUAAAGAACCAGACCAGAAGUGUUCCUCUAGUGCCUGAGCAGGCAGGUGCUAGAAAUAACAAAGCAAAGCAAAUCCCAACAAUGCUUCACUUCCUACCUCGUGCCACUAUUUACACUCAGAGGGGAAACACAGCCUGUAGUCUGGGAGCCAAACACUUGGCUUUAAAGGCACAUGAAUUGCUGAUUCCCAUUAAGAAAUUCCUUUUUAAGCUGUUUGAAAAGAAACAAAAAGCAACCCAACAAUCAGUCAUUUCAUCUCAGAGACCAAAGAAGAUUAACCACAUUUCCUAAAUUGCUUUUCUGAUAGGCUCUCUGUUGUAGCAUUUACUGUCAACAAAAUGGAACAUUUCUGCUAAGGUUCAGAGAUUAGGAAUUCUCCUUAAACUUAAUUCUCAGGAGUCAACAAGGAAAAGGGAACUGAAGUGUUCUGUAAUGUUACUGGCAGUCCUUGUCUGUGACAGGCUCCAGUCCCUGUUGGAGCUCACUGCUGGUUUUAUCCUUUGUGUGGGUUCUGUUUAAACAGGGACAGAGGGAAGAGAGCAAACAAGGGAGUGAGAAAUGAGUCCUACCUUCACCAGGGGAUCCCUGAAUCCCUGCUCCCACGUGUUCCAGGCUAAGAGAGGAAGGCUCAGGCUUCUUCCAGAUCCUUGCUGCUUUCAGCAGGGUAUGUGCAAGUGUCCAGAGGCACCAGGGAGGCUCCAGCUGCCCCUCAGUUAAUCCUUGAGGGUUUUCUUCUACUCCACUUCAUAAAGGGGAUUUUUUGAAGCAUUAAGUACCCCCAGCUGAUCCUGCCCUGGCAGUGGGGUGGUUUGUACCCAGGCUGGGAAGCUGAGGCAGUGGGAGCUGCCCAAAGGAGAGAGUGGCCCAAAAGGCAGCAAGCUGCAGCCCACAGCAGGUCUGGAUGGCCCCAGGAGCUUCUCCCCUUACAGUCAGGGUGGCUAAACCCCAUAAACAUCUGGCUGUGCUCUGGGAAGCAGAGUUCUUCCAAGCUCCACCCCAAAUGCUUGUUUUCUUCUCCAUCUGCUUUAUUGUCUGGUAAACCAAUCACUUUUACUACGUGAUGUACGGGAGUAUUAGUCUAUUUUCUUGUUAUACAAGGGAGGAGUAUAAAAUAGUUUUCUGAUUUCUUUCAGAAGCAAAUGACUAUUUUAUUUUUUAAAAGCAAUUGAUUGUGAAUCUCAGAGUAUAAAAAAAAGAUAAGCCAAAUAUAUACCUUUAUGUAAAUUAAGAAAUAAAAGUAUUUAAAAUGUACCUCCUGGCUCCUUUUCUCCUGUCUCCUCUUGGCCACACACUCCUGUGGUUGCUGCCUGCAGGGCUGGUCCUUGGGAUAAGGAUGCUCCAAGCUCCAGCAGCCACAGAGCUGCCAAGAACUUACCUGGACACCAGCCUGCCUGGAGCUGGUUGAGAACUAACACCAGGAGCAGGGAAGGUGGUGGAUCACAGCCUCCUUUUCCCUCUGAGCUGGCUGCAGCCGGGAUCAGAGCUGGGGAAGGAGUCAGUGUGGGCUCAGAGGUGGGUCCUGCUCCAGCCCCUCACAGCACAGUUGAAGGGCCUGGCUGAUGGACUGAUGGCAAUGGUGCUGUGGGAGCCACGGCUCAGGCGCUCAGCAAGAUGCACAGGAAGGCAGGAAAUGAAUUCCCAAGUGGUCCCACAGUGGGCAUCAAGGCUGUCCUUCUCCAGGGAUCCUGCAGCAGCCACGCCCACCAACCUCCCGGGAUGGUGGCUUGUGGAGAAAAGGAGUGAAGGGGCUGGUCCUGCACAUCCUGCAGGAGCCCUGCACUCAGCUUUGGGCUGCCAUGACACACAGGGGAGCCUGGGGCUGCCCUGAGCUCCCACAGCACCCAGCACUGCCUCCCUUCAGGGUCUUCCUUCAGCACAGGGCAAGUGUCCAAGCCAGGAAACUGCAAAAGCAAAGGCUCUGUCACUUAAAACAUUCAUCCCUGAUGGCCUUUUGUCAGUGCUUCUUGGGGUUUUCAGUUUAUCAUUCUUGUAAAUUUCUUGAUUAAGAAUAAUUUUCCAAAUUCUGAUGAUCCAGCAGAUAGAUAAGCUUUGCAGCUCAGCAGCUUUAGCUUCCAUCCACCAACUACUGCUAACAAGUGUGCUGUUCACACUGGCACUGGAUCAGGGCCAUACCCGUGUGUGUGUGUGUUAUGUGUGUGUUAUGUGUGUGUGUGUGUUAUGUGUGUGUUAUGUAUACGUGUUAUGUGUGUUAUGUGUGUUAUGUGUGCACCCCCCACACUUGCUCACUCCCCAUCCCUGUUUCACAAACCCUUCCCCCACUGCCUGCAGAGCUCUCAGAGCCACCCACACUCUGACAAACACCAGCCUCAUGGGCUGGCACAGGGUGACUCCCCUGACCCUCUGCUGUAGGAGCUGUAGGAGCUGAUGUUCUUUGUGCUGCAGUGCCCUGCUGUCACUGGUGCAUUUACAUUUAUCACAUUGUACAAAGAGGUGCUGAUUGCCUGGCAACCUCUCCUGAGCAAUUCCAACACUGCACCCAUUGCCCAGAUCCCCUGGCAAAAUCUCUGUAUGACAUACAGGAUAUUAUAUCAGAAAUCACAGAAUCAUGGAAUGGUUUGGGCUACAAGGACCAUAAAGACCAAUCAAUUCCACCCCCUGCCAUGGCAGGGACACCUUCCACUAUCCCAGGUUGCUCCAAGACUUGUCCAGCCUGGCCUUGGGCACUUCCUGGGAUGGGGCACUCACAGCUGCUCUGGGCCCUGUGCCAGGCCUGCCCACCCUCACAGGACUCCACGUGCCUGGAUUUGUCCCAUGGCUUUGGCCAGUCUCCAGCACUGCAUCCCUGCCCUGAGCCCAGGACAGCAGAGAGGAAAAGGCUUCAUUGAAAUCAAAGCUCAGUAGAAAGCCCUAACGGUUAAGCAACAGACAGGACUGAAAUCAAAUCAAAUUAAACCUUUGUGAUUAUUAAAAGGCCC
rnacentral:lncRNA from 1 species